rnacentral:rRNA from 1 species
UCAAGCGAGAAAGGGCGCACGGUGGAUGCCUUGGCGCCGGGUGGCGACGAAGGGCGCAGCGAGCUGCGAAAAGCCUCGGGUAGCCGCAAGCAGGCGUAGAUCCGGGGAUACCCGAAUGGGGGAACCCAUCACAGGUAAUACUGUGAUAUCCUGUACCGAACACAUAGGUAUAGGAGGCGAUACCGGGGGAACUGAAACAUCUAAGUACCCCGAGGAGAAGAAAGAAACCUCGAUUCCCUAAGUAGCGGCGAGCGAACGGGGAGAAGCCCAAACCCUGCAUGAGUAAUAGGCUGCAUCCGUUUCAUGCAGGGGGUUGUGGGGUUAUCAGUGGAUAGGAUGCAGACUAUCCGCCGUCAAAGCCGACAGUUAGUAGAAGGAGUCUGGAACGGCCCACCAUAGAGGGUAACAGUCCCGUAUACGAAAACUGAAGGCAGCGGUAAGAUAGCCCCGAGUACCACGGGGCACGAGGAACCCUGUGGGAAUCCGGGAGGCCCACCUCCCAAGGCUAAAUACAACCCGGCGACCGAUAGCGAACAAGUACCGUGAGGGAAAGGUGAAAAGCACCCCGGGAGGGGAGUGAAACAGAACCUGAAACCGUGUGUCUACAAGCAGUGGGAGCCCUGACUAGAAGCUAGAGGCUAGAAGCUAGAAGCUAGAGGAGCGAAUCUAGAUUCUAGUUUCCAGCAUCUAGCUUCUAAGGGGCGACCGCGUACUUUUUGUAGAACGGACCGGCGAGUUGCGGUAUCUAGCGAGGUUAAGGUGCAGAGCACCGGAGCCGAAGCGAAAGCGAGUCCUAACAGGGCGUAUAGUUAGGUAUCGCAGACCCGAAACCGGGUGAUCUACCUAUGGCCAGGGUGAAGCGGAAGUAAAGUUUCGUGGAGGCCCGAACCGUGUUGACGUUGAAAAGUCAUGGGAUGAGCUGUGGGUAGGGGUGAAAUGCCAAUCGAACCCGGAGAUAGCUGGUUCUCCCCGAAAUAGCUUUAGGGCUAGCCUCAACAGAAAGAGUGAUGGAGGUAGAGCACUGAAUGGGCUAGGGGCCCGACAAGGUUACCGAACCCUAUCAAACUCCGAAUGCCAUCACUUGUUAGUUGGGAGUCAGACUAUGGGAGAUAAGUUUCAUAGUCGAGAGGGAAACAGCCCAGACCGUCAGCUAAGGUCCCCAAGUAUAGGCUAAGUGGCAAAGGAUGUGGGAUUGCCCAGACAACCAGGAUGUUGGCUUAGAAGCAGCCAUUCAUUUAAAGAGUGCGUAAUAGCUCACUGGUCAAGUGAUCCUGCGCCGAAAAUGUAGCGGGGCUCAAGCCUAUCACCGAAGCUGCGGGUACGAGAGUGCGGUAGGGGAGCGUUGUAUAGCCGUCGAAGUCAGACCGAAAGGGCUGGUGGAGGGUAUACAAGAGCGAAUGCCGGUAUAAGUAGCGAGAGGCAGGUGAGAAACCUGCCCGCCGGAAGCCUAAGGUUUCCUGAGGAAGGUUUGUCCUCUCAGGGUAAGCCGGGGCCUAAGCCGAGGCGUAGAGCGUAGGCGAUGGACAAUCGGUUGAGAAUCCGAUGCCACCUACUAACCGCAACGAGCGAAGGGGUGACACAGGAGGGUAGGUCAAGCGUGUGAUUGGUGGUACACGUCCAAGCCAUUAGGGAGCGGGGGCAGGCAAAACCGUUUCCGCGAUAAUCCUGAGUGGUGAUGGGGAGUGAAAAUUAAAGUAACGAAGUGACCGAUCCCAUACUGUUUAAAAAAGCCUCUAGCCAGGUUAGGGGUGCCCGUACCGCAAACCGACACAGGUAGGCAGGGAGAGAAUCCCGAGGCGACCGGGAGAACCCUCGUUAAGGAACUCGGCAAACUGACCCCGUAACUUCGGGAGAAGGGGUGCCCGAGUAGCGUAUGGUAUAACUAUAUGCGAAAGGGCCGCAGAGAAUAGGCCCAAGCGACUGUUUAGCAAAAACACAGGUCUCUGCCAAGGAGAAAUCCGACGUAUAGGGGCUGACGCCUGCCCGGUGCUGGAAGGUUAAGGGGAAGGCUUAGCGCAAGCGAAGGUCUGAACCGAAGCCCCAGUGAACGGCGGCCGUAACUAUAACGGUCCUAAGGUAGCGAAAUUCCUUGUCGGGUAAGUUCCGACCCGCACGAAAGGCGUAACGACUUGGGCGCUGUCUCGACGAGGGGCCCGGCGAAAUUGUAGUACUCGUGAAGAUGCGAGUUACCCGCGACAAGACGGAAAGACCCCGUGGAGCUUUACUGCAGCCUGACAUUGGAUCUUGGCAUUACAUGUACAGGAUAGGUGGGAGACGGAGAGCCUGGGCCGCCAGGUUCAGGGGAGUCGCCCUUGGGAUACCACUCUUGUAGUGCUGGGGUUCUAACCAUAUGCCGUAAGCCGGUAUUGGGACAUUGUCAGGUGGGCAGUUUGACUGGGGCGGUCGCCUCCCAAAGAGUAACGGAGGCGCCCAAAGGUUACCUCAGUGCGGUCGGGAAUCGCGCGUAGAGUGUAAAGGCAGAAGGUAGCCUAACUGUGAGAGAGACAUCUCGAGCAGAGUCGAAAGACGGGCUUAGUGAUCCGGCGGUAUCGAGUGGAAGAGCCGUCGCUCAACGGAUAAAAGCUACCCCGGGGAUAACAGGCUUAUCUCCCCCAAGAGUCCACAUCGACGGGGAGGUUUGGCACCUCGAUGUCGGCUCGUCGCAUCCUGGGGCUGGAGUAGGUCCCAAGGGUUGGGCUGUUCGCCCAUUAAAGCGGUACGCGAGCUGGGUUCAGAACGUCGUGAGACAGUUCGGUCCCUAUCUGUCGCGGGCGUAGGAAACUUGAGGGGAGCUGCCCUUAGUACGAGAGGACCGGGGUGGACGGACCGCUGGUGUACCAGUUGUCCCGCCAGGGGCACAGCUGGGUAGCCAUGUCCGGCAGGGAUAAGCGCUGAAGGCAUCUAAGCGCGAAGCCCCCCCCAAGAUUAGGUUUCCCACUCCUUAGGAGGUAAGACCCCAGGUAGAUUACCUGGUCGAUAGGUCGGAGGUGUAAGUGCAGCAAUGCAUUCAGCUGACCGAUACUAAUAGGUCGAGGGCUUGACCU